rnacentral:rRNA from 1 species
CCUACGGGCGACAGCAGUGAGGAAUAUUGGUCAAUGGACGAGAGUCUGAACCAGCCAAGUAGCGUGAAGGAUGACUGCCCUAUGGGUUGUAAACUUCUUUUAUAUGGGAAUAAAAUGUUCCACGUGUGGGAUUUUGUAUGUACCAUAUGAAUAAGGAUCGGCUAACUCCGUGCCAGCAGCCGCGGUAAUACGGAGGAUCCGAGCGUUAUCCGGAUUUAUUGGGUUUAAAGGGAGCGUAGGUGGAUUGUUAAGUCAGUUGUGAAAGUUUGCGGCUCAACCGUAAAAUUGCAGUUGAAACUGGCAGUCUUGAGUACAGUAGAGGUGAGCGGAAUUCGUGGUGUAGCGGUGAAAUGCUUAGAUAUCACGAAGAACUCCGAUUGCGAAGGCAGUUCACUGGACUGCAACUGACACUGAGGCUCGAAAGUGUGGGUAUCAAACAGGAUUAGAUACCCCUGUAGUC